rnacentral:tRNA from 1 species
AUUUAAGUAGCUUAUUUAAAGCUUAACAUUGAAGCUGUUAUGAAGGUCUAUAGACCCUUAAAUA